rnacentral:rRNA from 1 species
AUUCCAGCUCCAAUAGCGUAUAUUAAAGUUGUUGCAGUUAAAAAGCUCGUAGUUGGAUUUCUGGCAGGAGUGACUGACCACAAACUCUGUUUGUGAGUUGUGUCAUUCUGGCCAUCCUUGGUAAGAUCCUUUUUGGCAUUAAGUUGUCGGGAAGGGGAUGACCAUCGUUUACUGUGAAAAAAUUAGAGUGUUUAAAGCAGGCUUAUGCCGUUGAAUAUAUUAGCAUGGAAUAAUAAGAUAGGACUUUGGUGGUCUAUUUUGUUGGUUUGCACACCAAGGUAAUGAUUAAUAGGGACAGUUGGGGGUAUCCGUAUUUCGUAGUCAGAGGUGAAAUUCUUGGAUUUACGAAAGACGAACUACUGCGAAAGCAUUUACCAAGGAUGUUUUCAUUA